rnacentral:other from 1 species
AGUCUUCUGAGGCGUGCGUCAGGUUCCUCUCAAUCCCUUGAGCCUUAAUCUGCGACUUUGGGGGGCGCACCAAGUCGGUCGUGUGCAGGUCCGUCGCGAACGGAAAGCCUUACACCCUCUGCGCGCCCCCCAGCUUGAACCUCUGGUUCAAGGUCGAAGAGCAACCAACGGCGUUUUGGAAGACAC